ACUGGGAUUACCUUAGUAACGGCGAGUGAAGCGGUAAAAGCUCAAAUUUGAAAUCUGGUACUUUCAGUGCCCGAGUUGUAAUUUGUAGAAUUUGUCUUUGAUUAGGUCCUUGUCUAUGUUCCUUGGAACAGGACGUCAUAGAGGGUGAGAAUCCCGUUUGGCGAGGAUACCUUUUCUCUGUAAGACUUUUUCGAAGAGUCGAGUUGUUUGGGAAUGCAGCUCAAAGUGGGUGGUAAAUUCCAUCUAAAGCUAAAUAUUGGCGAGAGACCGAUAGCGAACAAGUACAGUGAUGGAAAGAUGAAAAGAACUUUGAAAAGAGAGUGAAAAAGUACGUGAAAUUGUUGAAAGGGAAGGGCAUUUGAUCAGACAUGGUGUUUUUUGCAUGCACUCGCCUCUCGUGGGCUUGGGCCUCUCAAAAAUUUCACUGGGCCAACAUCAAUUCUGGCAGCAGGAUAAAUCAUUAAGAAUGUAGCUACUUCGGUAGUGUUAUAGCUUUUUGGAAUACUGUUAGCCGGGAUUGAGGACUGCGCUUCGGCAAGGAUGUUGGCAUAAUGGUUAAAUGCCGCCCGUCUAA
rnacentral:rRNA from 1 species